rnacentral:rRNA from 1 species
UACGUAGGGGGCAAGCGUUGUCCGGAUUCAUUGGGCGUAAAGAGCGUGUAGGCGGCCAGGUAGGUCGGUUGUGAAAACUGGAGGCUCAACCUUCAGAGGUCGACCGAAACCAUCUGGCUAGAGUCCGGGAGAGGAGAGUGGAAUUCCUGGUGUAGCGGUGAAAUGCGUAGAUAUCAGGAGGAACACCGGUGGCGAAGGCGGCUUUCUGGACAGACACCGACGCUGAGGCACGAAAGCUAGGGGAGCAAACAGG